UCUAAUCAUAUGAGACCCAUAUUGAAACCCCUGUGUGAGCUCAGUGUGUCUCUGAGGAUGUGAAGUGUUGACAUGAAGCUGAGGAGCCUGGAGACAAUCACAGGACCGUGAUACACCUGCUCACCAGACACAAGGCGACACGGACACUGGGCAUCGAACCCCCGCAGACAAAUGGCACAAAGAGGAAAGUGAAGCUCAGCUUUAAUCCAGACAGAGCAGCUAAAGGGAGUCUGUAGCUGCUGGUGUGUCUCAGCUAACAGUGGUUUAAAGGUGGAGUGCCUUGCCCAAGGACACAUCGGCAUGCAGACUCACAACUGCCCUCAUCUGGCCAAAGGGUUGUUCUGCAUCUUCCUCGUGAUCUUUAGGAAUCAGAUCAACGCUGAUCACGG